rnacentral:tRNA from 1 species
UCUACUAAAAGAUAGUAGUCUUCUGUUGGUUUUAGGCACCAAACCCCU